CCUACGGGUGGCAGCAGUGGGGAAUAUUGGACAAUGGGGGGAACCCUGAUCCAGCCAUGCCGCGUGUGUGAAGAAGGCCCUCGGGUUGUAAAGCACUUUCAGUGAGGAAGAACGCCUGGUGGUUAAUACCCAUCAGGAAAGACAUCACUCACAGAAGAAGCGCCGUCUAACUCCGUGCCAGCAGCCGCGGUAAUACGGAGGGUGCGAGCGUUAAUCGGAAUUACUGGGCGUAAAGCGCGCGUAGGUGGCUUGAUAAGCCGGUUGUGAAAGCCCCGGGCUCAACCUGGGAACGGCAUCCGGAACUGUCAAGCUAGAGUGCAGGAGAGGAAGGUAGAAUUCCCGGUGUAGCGGUGAAAUGCGUAGAGAUCGGGAGGAAUACCAGUGGCGAAGGCGGCCUUCUGGACUGACACUGACACUGAGGUGCGAAAGCGUGGGUAGCAAACAGGAUUAGAUACCCGAGUAGUC
rnacentral:rRNA from 1 species